GGGAGAGAAUGAGGGGAAAGCGAGGAAUUACUUUAAUUUCAUGCUUGUGAUGAAUGUUUUGGUGUUAUUAUUAUUCUUGAUUCGGCUGAGUUGCAUUAGUUCCCUUCUCCCCUCUUCUCUGUGUUCCCUCAUGCAAUCCGAGCAUCGGGAUGACGGCUUGCCGUCGCUAAACGCCUGCACACGCAUAAAAGAGACGACAAGACGCCAUGCGAGAGACGGGCCCCGUUGUACGGGUGAGGAGACUUCACUGAGAAACUCUCUCCUCCGUCUCUUCUGCAGGGGAAGAAGGGCUGUGUGUCUAUACGGUCGAAAGCACGUCAGCCCAGCGGAGAACCCGGAGCACUCGUGUCUGAGAGAAGGGUCUGACCUGGCGGUGAUAGGACCAGCUGGGGUGGGGGUCGGAGAUACCCAUACUGUGUUGGUGGUGGAG
ensembl:lncRNA